rnacentral:rRNA from 1 species
GCGGCAUGCCUAACACAUGCAAGUCGAACGAUGCUUUCGGGCAUAGUGGCGCACGGGUGCGUAACGCGUGGGAAUCUGCCCUUGGGUUCGGAAUAACAAUGAGAAAUUGCUGCUAAUACCGGAUGAUGUCUUCGGACCAAAGAUCUAUCGCCCAGGGAUGAGCCCGCGUAGGAUUAGCUAGUUGGUGGGGUAAUGGCCUACCAAGGCGACGAUCCUUAGCUGGUCUGAGAGGAUGAUCAGCCACACUGGGACUGAGACACGGCCCAGACUCCUACGGGAGGCAGCAGUGGGGAAUAUUGGACAAUGGGCGCAAGCCUGAUCCAGCAAUGCCGCGUGAGUAAUGAAGGCCUUAGGGUUGUAAAGCUCUUUUACCCGGGAUGAUAAUGACAGUACCGGGAGAAUAAGCUCCGGCUAACUCCGUGCCAGCAGCCGCGGUAAUACGGAGGGAGCUAGCGUUGUUCGGAAUUACUGGGCGUAAAGCGCGCGUAGGCGGCUGCUCAAGUCAGAGGUGAAAGCCCGGGGCUCAACCCCGGAACUGCCUUUGAAACUAGGUAGCUAGAAUCUUGGAGAGGUCAGUGGAAUUCCGAGUGUAGAGGUGAAAUUCGUAGAUAUWCGGAAGAACACCAGUGGCGAAGGCGACUGACUGGACAAGUAUUGACGCURAGGUGCGAAAGCGUGGGGAGCAAA